rnacentral:misc_RNA from 1 species
UUUCCGUAGGUGGACCUGCGGAAGGAUCAUUAGUGAAUUGAAUAUGUUAGCGGACCUCUUCGGAGUCCCUGCAUCAAAUCAUAUCCAUAACACCUGUGAACUGUAAGGCUGUCUUGAAAACGAAAGUGAUUAGAGCGCCUGCCCAUUUUAUACAAACAUUAAAGUAACAAACGUAGUCUUAUUAUAAUCUAAUAAAACUUUCAACAACGGAUCUCUUGGCUCUC